AUGGCCGCACGGCGGUGCAGGAGGCCCUGCGCGCUUCCCCCCCUUUUGGCGGCGGCUCGCGGUGCCCCUCAAGGCGACUCGGCCUCGAAGGCUCAGCCCGGCGUGGGGGGCGGCAGCGAAUCCCAGUGUCUUGGCGGUUCCCUUAUACGAGAGGUGUAGGAAACCCGGUGCCUGCCGUAUUAAUUAAUGCGUGUGGUCAUUAAUCUUCAGUCCAAAGGGCUCCAAUCUUUCACUUUACAGAAAAAAUUACAGAAUUGCAACGGUUGGGAGAGACCUCGAGAUCGUCAAGUCCAACCCCCUUACUAAAGCGGUUACCCUACAACAGGUCACACAGCCUCAUAAGGACAGAAACAAGAAUAUCUUUCAAGAGGCUGUGUGUUACAUUACUGUAUGGGAACUGCUGAGUCAUGGCCUGAACCACUGAUUGAUCACCUGUGAAAAGGACUGGAUCAGCCCUGGGAGCACAGGGUUUCCAAGAAGGCAAUGUAAAGGAUAUCCAACGUCAACAAGUGCUUUUGUUGCCAAUGCCUACUGCAGAGGAGGGUGAGGAGGCUGCCAAGAAGAGUUUCAGAAUGGAUGAAAGCCCUACACCAAACAAAGGUCUAAAGGCUGUGGUCGAGAGCAGGCAUGGACUGACCAACUAUCCACCAUUUUUGCCUCCAAAUAUUUUCCAAGUUUUAACCCUUCAUGAGAGGCUGUUCUUGUCUUGCUCAGGACUGGACUCACUGGUUAUUGUGACGCUGGCAGGCAGGGUCUGGGCACGGCUGGAGGCUGGAGUGCUCUGAGUUGUCGGGGACACUUCGAUUUUGUCAGAUGAGAUAGCUGAUGUGAUGGCCUGAAUCCACGUGUUCAUCUCCUCCUUCAAGAAGCCCGAAAGGUAGAAAGCUGUUACAAUACAUGCACCACACUCCCUCGCUCAUUCAGCAUUGCAAAUGGGGAAUGGAUAGAAGUGGGGAAUUAAACACAGCCCUAACUCAUAAUCUGGCACUCCUCUGGUUAUGCACCUGCAGGAGCUGUCUACUUCAAUCUGUAUCUAAUACCUUCUCAAUCUAUGCAUUAUGCACACAUGCAUACAUGACUGGAGACCAGAAAAUUAAAGUGUACUCCUA
rnacentral:lncRNA from 1 species